rnacentral:rRNA from 1 species
CCUACGGGUGGCAGCAGUGGGGAAUAUUGCACAAUGGGCGCAAGUCUGAUGCAGCCAUGCCGCGUGUGUGAAGAAGGCCUUCGGGUUGUAAAGCACUUUCAGCGGGGAGGAAGGCGUUAAGGUUAAUAACCUUGGCGAUUGACGUUACCCGCAGAAGAAGCACCGGCUAACUCCGUGCCAGCAGCCGCGGUAAUACGGAGGGUGCAAGCGUUAAUCGGAAUUACUGGGCGUAAAGCGCACGCAGGCGGUCUGUCAAGUCGGAUGUGAAAUCCCCGGGCUCAACCUGGGAACUGCAUUCGAAACUGGCAGGCUAGAGUCUUGUAGAGGGGGGUAGAAUUCCAGGUGUAGCGGUGAAAUGCGUAGAGAUCUGGAGGAAUACCGGUGGCGAAGGCGGCCCCCUGGACAAAGACUGACGCUCAGGUGCGAAAGCGUGGGGAGCAAACAGGAUUAGAUACCCGUGUAGUC